GAAAUGCGAUAAGUAAUGUGAAUUGCAGAAUUCAGUGAAUCAUCGAAUCUUUGAACGCACAUUGCGCCCGCCAGCACUCUGGCGGGCAUGCCUGUUCGAGCUUCAUUUCAACCCUCAGAACCCCUUGCGGGAUCUGGCGUUGGGGAUUGGCAUCCAGCCAGCCCCGAAAUCUAGUGGCGGUCCCUCCGCGACCUCCCCUGUGCAGUAGCGAUACCUCGCAGCGGGACAGCGGUCUGACCACGCCGUAAAACCCCCAACUUCUCAAGGUUGACCUCGAAUCAGGUAGGAAUACCCGCUGAACUAAGC
rnacentral:misc_RNA from 1 species